UACGUAGGGAGCAAGCGUUGUCCGGAUUUACUGGGUGUAAAGGGUGCGUAGGCGGCUAAGCAAGUCAGAUGUGAAAUCUAUGGGCUCAACCCAUAAACUGCAUUUGAAACUGCAUAGCUUGAGUGAAGUAGAGGCAGGCGGAAUUCCCCGUGUAGCGGUGAAAUGCGUAGAGAUGGGGAGGAACACCAGUGGCGAAGGCGGCCUGCUGGGCUUUAACUGACGCUGAGGCACGAAAGCGUGGGUAG
rnacentral:rRNA from 1 species